rnacentral:misc_RNA from 1 species
GAUGAAGAACGCAGCGAAAUGCGAUACUUGGUGUGAAUUGCAGAAUCCCGUGAACCAUCGAGUCUUUGAACGCAAGUUGCGCCCGAAGCCAUCAGGUUGAGGGCACGUCUGCCUGGGCGUCACAUAUCGUUGCUCGAUGCCUAUCGCAUUGCGAUAGGACUUAGGGCGAAUGAUGGCUUCCCGUGAGCGUUGUUGCCUCGCGGUUGGUUGAAAAUCGAGUCCUUGGUAGGGUGUGCCAUGAUAGAUGGUGGUCGAGUGACGUACGAGACCCAAUCAUGUGAGACCCCUACCGAAUUUGGCCUUCAUGACCCACAUGCGUCUUUGGAACGCUCAUGACGAGACCUCAGGUCAGGCGGGGCUACCCGCUGAGUUUAAGCAUAUCAAUAAGCGGAGGA